rnacentral:ncRNA from 1 species
UUCGGGGGCGGGGUGAGAUUCCCCACCGGCGGUGACAGUCCGUGAACGCUCGUCAGCGAGCGCCGAGCCGGUGAAAUUCCGGCGCCGACGGUAUAGUCCGGAUAAGAGAGGU